rnacentral:rRNA from 1 species
UGGGGAAUAUUGCGCAAUGGGCGAAAGCCUGACGCAGCAACGCCGCGUGAGGGAUGAAGGCCUUCGGGUUGUAAACCUCUUUCAGCAGGGAUGAAGCGAAAGUGACAGUACCUGCAGAAGAAGCGCCGGCUAACUACGUGCCAGCAGCCGCGGUAAUACGUAGGGCGCAAGCGUUGUCCGGAUUUAUUGGGCGUAAAGAGCUCGUAGGCGGUCUGUCACGUCGGAUGUGAAAACCCGGAGCUCAACUCCGGGCCUGCAUUCGAUACGGGCAGACUUGAGUACUGCAGGGGAGACUGGAAUUCCUGGUGUAGCGGUGGAAUGCGCAGAUAUCAGGAGGAACACCGGUGGCGAGGGCGGGUCUCUGGGCAGAAACUGACGCUGAGGAGCGAAAGCGUGGGGAGCGAACA